GGGUUGUGAGGUUAAGCGACUAAGCGUACACGGUGGAUGCCCUGGCAGUCAGAGGCGAUGAAGGACGUGCUAAUCUGCGAAAAGCGUCGGUAAGGUGAUAUGAACCGUUAUAACCGGCGAUGUCCGAAUGGGGAAACCCAGUGCAAUUCGUUGCACUAUCGUUAACUGAAUACAUAGGUUAACGAGGCGAACCGGGGGAACUGAAACAUCUAAGUACCCCGAGGAAAAGAAAUCAACCGAGAUUCCCCCAGUAGCGGCGAGCGAACGGGGAGCAGCCCAGAGUCUGAAUCAGCUUGUGUGUUAGUGGAACGGUCUGGAAAGUCCGACGGUACAGGGUGAUAGUCCCGUACACCAAAAUGCACAGGCUGUGAACUCGAAGAGUAGGGCGGGACACGUGGUAUCCUGUCUGAAUAUGGGGGGACCAUCCUCCAAGGCUAAAUACUCCUGACUGACCGAUAGUGAACCAGUACCGUGAGGGAAAGGCGAAAAGAACCCCGGCGAGGGGAGUGAAAAAGAACCUGAAACCGUGUACGUACAAGCAGUGGGAGCACCUUCGGGUGUGACUGCGUACCUUUUGUAUAAUGGGUCAGCGACUUAUAUUCUGUAGCAAGGUUAACCGUAUAGGGGAGCCGCAGGGAAACCGAGUCUUAACUGGGCGUUAAGUUGCAGGGUAUAGACCCGAAACCCGGUGAUCUAGCCAUGGGCAGGUUGAAGGUUGGGUAACACUAACUGGAGGACCGAACCGACUAAUGUUGAAAAAUUAGCGGAUGACUUGUGGCUGGGGGUGAAAGGCCAAUCAAACCGGGAGAUAGCUGGUUCUCCCCGAAAGCUAUUUAGGUAGCGCCUCGUGAACUCAUCUUCGGGGGUAGAGCACUGUUUCGGCUAGGGGGUCAUCCCGACUUACCAACCCGAUGCAAACUACGAAUACCGAAGAAUGUUAUCACGGGAGACACACGGCGGGUGCUAACGUCCGUCGUGAAGAGGGAAACAACCCAGACCGCCAGCUAAGGUCCCAAAGUCAUGGUUAAGUGGGAAACGAUGUGGGAAGGCACAGACAGCCAGGAUGUUGGCUUAGAAGCAGCCAUCAUUUAAAGAAAGCGUAAUAGCUCACUGGUCGAGUCGGCCUGCGCGGAAGAUGUAACGGGGCUAAACCAUGCACCGAAGCUGCGGCAGCGACACUAUGUGUUGUUGGGUAGGGGAGCGUUCUGUAAGCCUGCGAAGGUGUGCUGUGAGGCAUGCUGGAGGUAUCAGAAGUGCGAAUGCUGACAUAAGUAACGAUAAAGCGGGUGAAAAGCCCGCUCGCCGGAAGACCAAGGGUUCCUGUCCAACGUUAAUCGGGGCAGGGUGAGUCGACCCCUAAGGCGAGGCCGAAAGGCGUAGUCGAUGGGAAACAGGUUAAUAUUCCUGUACUUGGUGUUACUGCGAAGGGGGACGGAGAAGGCUAUGUUAGCCGGGCGACGGUUGUCCCGGUUUAAGCAUGUAGGCUGGUUAUCCAGGCAAAUCCGGAUAAUCAAGGCUGAGGUGUGAUGACGAGGCACUACGGUGCUGAAGUAACAAAUGCCCUGCUUCCAGGAAAAGCCUCUAAGCAUCAGGUAACAUCAAAUCGUACCCCAAACCGACACAGGUGGUCAGGUAGAGAAUACCAAGGCGCUUGAGAGAACUCGGGUGAAGGAACUAGGCAAAAUGGUGCCGUAACUUCGGGAGAAGGCACGCUGGUGUGUAGGUGAAGUCCCUGCGGAUGGAGCUGAGACCAGUCGAAGAUACCAGCUGGCUGCAACUGUUUAUUAAAAACACAGCACUGUGCAAACACGAAAGUGGACGUAUACGGUGUGACGCCUGCCCGGUGCCGGAAGGUUAAUUGAUGGGGUUAUCCGUAAGGAGAAGCUCUUGAUCGAAGCCCCGGUAAACGGCGGCCGUAACUAUAACGGUCCUAAGGUAGCGAAAUUCCUUGUCGGGUAAGUUCCGACCUGCACGAAUGGCGUAAUGAUGGCCAGGCUGUCUCCACCCGAGACUCAGUGAAAUUGAACUCGCUGUGAAGAUGCAGUGUACCCGCGGCAAGACGGAAAGACCCCGUGAACCUUUACUAUAGCUUGACACUGAACAUUGAGCCUUGAUGUGUAGGAUAGGUGGGAGGCUUUGAAGCGUGGACGCCAGUCUGCGUGGAGCCAACCUUGAAAUACCACCCUUUAAUGUUUGAUGUUCUAACGUUGGCCCCUGACCGGGGUUGCGGACAGUGUCUGGUGGGUAGUUUGACUGGGGCGGUCUCCUCCCAAAGCGUAACGGAGGAGCACGAAGGUUAGCUAAUCCUGGUCGGACAUCAGGAGGUUAGUGCAAUGGCAUAAGCUAGCUUGACUGCGAGCGUGACGGCGCGAGCAGGUGCGAAAGCAGGUCAUAGUGAUCCGGUGGUUCUGAAUGGAAGGGCCAUCGCUCAACGGAUAAAAGGUACUCCGGGGAUAACAGGCUGAUACCGCCCAAGAGUUCAUAUCGACGGCGGUGUUUGGCACCUCGAUGUCGGCUCAUCACAUCCUGGGGCUGAAGUAGGUCCCAAGGGUAUGGCUGUUCGCCAUUUAAAGUGGUACGCGAGCUGGGUUUAGAACGUCGUGAGACAGUUCGGUCCCUAUCUGCCGUGGGCGCUGGAGAAUUGAGGGGGGCUGCUCCUAGUACGAGAGGACCGGAGUGGACGCAUCACUGGUGUUCGGGUUGUCAUGCCAAUGGCACUGCCCGGUAGCUAAAUGCGGAAGAGAUAAGUGCUGAAAGCAUCUAAGCACGAAACUUGCCCCGAGAUGAGUUCUCCCUGAGACUUUAAGUCUCCUGAAGGAACGUUAAAGACGAUGACGUUGAUAGGCCGGGUGUGUAAGCGCAGCGAUGCGUUGAGCUAACCGGUACUAAUGAACCGUGAGGCUUAACCUUACAACGCCGAAG
rnacentral:rRNA from 1 species